rnacentral:snRNA from 1 species
AUAUCUUUCUCGGCCUUUUGGCUAAGAAUCAAGACAUUGUCUCACGGAUAUUAAAUUAAUCUUUUGUUGGGGAGGACUAAUACAAUGGCUUGCCAUUGAGACCAUCAUGUGUUGCUCUAGUGUUGCACUACUGCUUGGGCCGGCACACCCCAA